GAUAGUUCCAGGUUGAAUAAGUUCUCAAUGAUUAAUCCUACUACAUUAUGCAUUACCUUCCACUCAAUGGUUUCGAAAUUUUAUGAUCCAUUUUAUACAAAUGCUGAAUGAGCUAUUAGAACGCCGAAGGAUAAAAAUGAACAUUACUAAACUUUGGGUUAUUCCAAUUGAAAAACAUAGUAAUAAUUAUAAAAUAAGGAGGUCGAUAUGUUUAAUUAUUAUUUCAGUUCUCAACUAAACCUGAACAGAAUUCAUGCAUUACAAUAAUUCAACACGAUAAGAUUUUAUCAGCUAUAUACAAUAUACAGAAUUACAUGACGAUAAGAUAAACCCGUACGAGAGAACCAUUUAUAUAAGAAGUAUCAGAGCGUAUUUUAUAACCAGGUAUAUAAGGGCGCUUAUUAUCAACAUGUGAAGGACGAGAAGCACGUAGAAUAGAGCCAUACCGAAUUUUAAAAAAAUUAGAUCAUCGAUCGCACAGAAAAAUUUUCAGUUGACUUUCAAGUUAUUUCGCAACUGGCUCGAACCUUUCGGGUUUUCACGCAGUUUUUCCGACGUUUGAGAUGCUUUCCUCCCCGUUAUUUGAUCUGGACUGACGCUAUGGACAUCGGUCAGUUCACGAUAUGAGCGAUAAUGCAUUCACCCUAACGCUAAUGCUCGUGCUUCUCCACUGUAAUACACCCACAUAUGCCCAUCCGGGCUGCAUUCGGACAUCCCUGAGCUGCCUACUAAUGUCCAGUGUUUCUGAGGCAGGAUGAGGAAGGGCAAACAGUUUUUGCAUUAGUCGGGUAAUCUAAUAUGCUGAUGGCCCCCUGUAAAAUGGGGAAAAUUCGAUAUCUUGCGGCAAAUAUGGAAACCAGGUAUUUUGUUUCCAAAGGAAAAUUCAAAGGUACACAGGGUGUCCCAACUAAAAUUCGCCACACAUUUUUUGUUGGGAACCUGCGUUAAAUG